GCAGUGGGGAAUAUUGCACAAUGGGCGGAAGCCUGAUGCAGCGACGCCGCGUGAGGGAUGAAGGCCUUCGGGUUGUAAACCUCUUUCAGCAGGGACGAAGCGUGAGUGACGGUACCUGCAGAAGAAGCACCGGCUAACUACGUGCCAGCAGCCGCGGUAAUACGUAGGGUGCGAGCGUUGUCCGGAAUUACUGGGCGUAAAGAGUUCGUAGGCGGUUUGUCGCGUCGUUUGUGAAAACCCGGGGCUCAACUUCGGGCUUGCAGGCGAUACGGGCAGACUUGAGUGUUUCAGGGGAGACUGGAAUUCCUGGUGUAGCGGUGAAAUGCGCAGAUAUCAGGAGGAACACCGGUGGCGAAGGCGGGUCUCUGGGAAACAACUGACGCUGAGGAACGAAAGCGUGGGUAGCAAACAGGAUUAGA
rnacentral:rRNA from 1 species